rnacentral:lncRNA from 1 species
AUUCAUUUUAAUUUUCAUGGUCUAAAAAAAUAAACAGCCGCAUUGACAUUUUAGAGUCCUCUGCUCGUCAAGGUAAAAAACCUUUGGGACCUCGUUUUCCAGGGGGAAGACAACAAAGGAACCCUUUACCGAGCCCCUAGCAGCCAGCCAACAUCUCAUACAUCAUCAUUCAUGGGUGGAAAAAAAGCCAAGGGGCACCUUGUGCAUUAACCGGGGGACCAGCUUCAACAUCUCUCAAAAGCUCCGCACUACUGAUAUCGAUGCAUCAAAGUGUCCCAACGGAAGAGAGUGUCCUAACGAGGCCGGUUAAUCUGGCUCUUUCAGUUUAAAGUUCAGGCAACCCCUUAUGCAUGUCAAAGCACGGAUGACUGAUUGUAAAACCAUGGAGUAACCCACAGAAGGGUGUCCACGGAGUAUACGGAGUUACCGGCAAUGAAAGAUGAGAGUUUUAAAUUAAUCCUUGUAAUCGACGUGUAAUCCUUUAAAGCGCCGUGACGUAGGGUUCUGACACGUGCUUUGCUUGGUCAGCGUCUCCACGGUGGUGUUCUUCUCACCAUAAUUGACUAUUGUGAAAAUCGGUGUCCGUUCUUGACCUCUAGAGCCAAAAAAUAAAAAUAAUUGAAUCAUAAAACCAAAAUAAAAUGUAUAUUCAAAAACAUUACCGAUAAUUGAUCUCGUGUCAAGGAUUUCCAGGCGUUUACCCGCUCACUCACCUAUGGAAGAUUCAUUGAAUCCAUACUCAGCUGCAGAUGCUCCAUCAUUGGCUCUUCUCCGUACACAUAGAGCACGACUACAGUCCAGACUCUUGAAAAUUAAGUGGACCGUCAUCGCAAGUGAAACAGUUGCUUGAUAAAAAUAAUACAUGCCAAUAACAAAAGCUCCACGCAUGGCUUCCUCAUAUUUUCAUACAUCAUACACUCCCGAGGACAAUGGUCCUAAAAAAGUAAGUAAAUAAACAGAAGCGCGUCAUUGUCUCUGAAUUUUAUUAUAAACCAGCAUCCCUACUCUUUAUAUUUUCAUUUUAUUUUUUUAUGUCCACUCGAGGUAAUAGCCGAACAAGGGAACAAAUUUUCACCCUCUUACAUCCGACCCCAACUUCAAGGAACCCGUCUAGUCUCUCUCCCAAGAGACUGCAGUUUUUUUAACAUUUCAGUUUUUAAAUUCCCCCGAGUAAAGUCCUGAGUUAUCUAGAGCAUUGGAGCUUCAAUCUUCGGUAUCAAUUUAUAAUAAAUGUCUUUUUUGUUGUAUUGGACCCCCAGCAGAACUAGACACUUUAUUUUUUUGUUGUACCUGCCCUAAUGCCAAAAAGUUGUCCCCGAUCGUCUUUCCGGGCGAACGCCCACGAAGAAUAGGAUUUACUAUACGCUUUAUAUAUAUAAAAUGAAUGAGGGUGCACUAGGGCACGAAGGUAAGAAGAAAAGGGGAGUUAAUCCUGUUCCUCAGAUUAUCAACUCAUGCUAACGAGUCGCUAAUACCAUCAUCAAUAAAUUACAUUUUAUUUUUAAAAUCGAUUUUACGUUAGAAUCUUUCGUAUAUUAAAUUUACAAACAACCAGUCAACUGAGGAUAAAUAUUCUAGUUCAGCUUCUGGAAGACUUCAUGCGAAUU